ensembl:lncRNA
GAAUCCUUCUAAAUGCAAGUAACCUGUAAAUGGAUGUUGUAUCUCUGUUUAAAGAUUGACCAGGAUUUCUCACUGAUGUUUGGGGACGAAGUGUCUGGAAAGUUUCUUGCAAAGUGGCCUUCAUGUUUCAAGCCCAAAGUCAUCAGAGAAAGCCAGAGUCUUCCUUUCAGUCUUCAUGUUGAGGAACUGCGGGCAGGUUGCAACCCUGAGACUGAGCAUGAUCAUGGCUGGGAUAGUGAUAUGUCAGCUCUCCUGUUGCUGUUGCAUCUUCUGCCCCUUACAUCAAGAGGCCAUAAGAAAACUGUCAAGAUCAGCGCCGCACAGGCAGAGGACCAUCUUGUUAGAUUUGUUAAGCAUGGAGCCAGCCUCACUAAAUUCCUGGAGAAAGUUGAUGCCAGACAGCCUUUCCUCCUCUGCACUGGACAACAUAAGAAGAAAGUCGAGAGAUUCUUCAUCGUUGUGGACAACAAACCCAUGCAACGCCCUGACGUCGGUAUGGGAGGAAGUUCGCCCACUUUACUGAGGAAGGAAAAUCCACCCUGAAGCAACACCUAACCCUAACCUGUCUGCAGGAAAACGAAACAAAAAAGGACACUUUCAAGCUGCACAGUGAUGCCAUUGGACUCUGACGAGGACCAUGCUUACAAUAAGAGGCCUUACAGCUUUCCUUCUAAGGAAAUGGGCAGUGGAGUUACCAUGGACAAAGAUGUCUUCAGCUUCAAAGAAGACACAUCUCUCGUUUAACCAACCAUUAAGUCAUUUAUUGGUACAGGCUUUAAUAAUUAAAAUACUUUUGGUAUGGAGCUUUUUAUAUUCUAAGGUUUAUGCCAAUAUUUGGAGGUGAGAACAUGAUGCCACUGCAUGUUAAGUCUCUAGUGCAAUCUGCUGUCUUCCGCUUUAGCCAAUAAUAGUAUCAUCACAAUGUUCGAGUUGGGGUUUACGACACACAUUUUUGGAUUUAUUGGGAGCUUUUCAAUACAAUAAUAAGGUUCCAAGUACUGAUUCUCUGUUGCCACUGGUUUACUUUUAUUUCUUUUCUAGAUAGAAAUAGUCUGAAAUGUCUUAAGCAUGGGAUUUUUAAAAAGCUUACAAAAUUAAGAAAAACAUGCUUUUAACAGAUUUAACAGAGGCUAUGUGGCUUUCCUUAAGAAGAAGGAGAGGAGAUGCUCUUUGCGUCUGAGUUCAUGAUCCAGGUUGAUCCACAACCAGUCACAACAUUCCUAAAAGCUGUUGUGUGUUAAGCUGCACACUCAAUAAAAGUUAUUCAAAUGUUAAAACGGUUUGUAAACCUAAGAAAAGGCUGUGAUCCCUUACGAAGGAAACGGUGGAUAAGAAGAGAGGCACCAGGAUCAGUAGCCUACAUGACAAAAGUGGAAGAAAACUUUGAGACCCCUAUGUGUAGUAGAGGUAUUUGGGUAUGGGCAGUGACGGCUGGUCCAUUCAUGGGAAGGGACUUCGGGGUCGGUACCGUUUGCCGCAGGUCUAAAUAGGUCCAUGGUCUCAACGAGUGGACAUUUUAUUUUUUAACACGAACAGCUCCUAUAGACAGACAUGAGUCGUGGCUCUAAACACAGUAAUGUGUAUUUGUGAAAGGCAUGUUUUAUUAUGUUUUUAUUAAGUUUGUUUGCAUUCUAUACAAAGUCAAUGG